UACGAGUGGUCCAAGCGUUAGUCGGAAUCACUGGGCUUAAAGGGUGCGUAGGCGGAUCGGAAAGCGUCUUGUGAAAUCCCCCGGCUCAACCGGGGAACAGCAGGGCGAACUACCGGUCUUGAGGAAGGUAGAGGCCGGCGGAACGAUCGGUGGAGCGGUGGAAUGCGUAGAGAUCGAUCGGAACGCCAAAGGUGAAGACAGCCGGCUGGGCCUUUCCUGACGCUGAGGCACGAAAGCGUGGGGAGCAAACAGG
rnacentral:rRNA from 1 species